UUUGAAAUCUUGCAGCCUUGGUUACUUUACAAGUUUUUUAUCGGCCUAAUACAUUUAACUCUGAUUAUUUAUCUGCAAGGUUAUUUUCUGUGGUUAAAUUUCCAAUUUAUUAUUUCAAUUGUUUUAAGUUUUUCAGUUGUCAAAGGUUUUACAAUGGGAGCCUCAGUUGCUGUUUUGGUAAUAUUCACAGCUUUUUGGGCCGCAAUUGGUGGUGUUGUUCCUAUGUUUAUACCUAGAUCAUCUGACAGAGGAGUGAUUCAAACAAUGGUAAUAAUGACUGCGGUUAGCUGUUACGCACUUUGGCUAUUCACUUACAUGGCUCAGAUGAAUCCAUUGAUUGGUCCACAACUUACAGGACUAACUCAAACGAUCGUCAGUAAAAAUUGGUGACAUUUGUUUGUUUACUGAUUCGCCUUGAGCCUCACAAUGUUUGAUUUAUUGAAGUCUACCAAAUGUUAAUCUUGAAGUAUUAUUUAUUUACCUUUUUAUUUUGAAUGUUAACCAAGAGUUGCCAUAACUGAGUCAUUAAAUUUUUCAUUAAAAAUGAUUAUUUAAUCGCUA